rnacentral:rRNA from 1 species
UGGGGAAUAUUGCACAAUGGGCGCAAGCCUGAUGCAGCCAUGCCGCGUGUGUGAAGAAGGCCUUCGGGUUGUAAAGCACUUUCAGCGGGGAGGAAGGCGUUAAGGUUAAUAACCUUGGCGAUUGACGUUACCCGCAGAAGAAGCACCGGCUAACCCCGUGCCAGCAGCCGCGGUAAUACGGAGGGUGCAAGCGUUAAUCGGAAUUACUGGGCGUAAAGCGAACGCAGGCGGUUGAUUGAGUCAGAUGUGAAAUCCCCGGGCUUAACCCGGGAAUUGCAUCUGAUACUGGUCAGCUAGAGUCUUGUAGAGGGGGGUGGAAUUCCAGGUGUAGCGGUGAAAUGCGUAGAGAUGUGGAGGAAUACCGGUGGCGAAGGCGGCCCCCUGGACAAAGACUGACGCUCAGGUGCGAAAGCGUGGGGAGCAAACAGG